GAGCACGUAGGUGGGUUUGUAAGUCAGAUGUGAAAGCCUUCUGUUCAAAGGAAGAACGGCAUCUGAAACUGCAGAUCUUGAGUGUAGGAGGGGAGAGUGGAACUUCUGGUGGAGCGGUGAAAUGCGUAGAUAUCAGAAGGAACGUCGGCGGCGAAAGCGACUCUCUGGCCUAUUACUGACACUGAGUGUGCGAAAGUUGGGGGAGCAAACGGGAUUAGAUACCCCGGUAGUCCUAACUGUAAACGAUGGGCACUAAGUAGAGGGGUUUU
rnacentral:rRNA from 1 species